UACGUAGGGACCAAGCGUUGUUCGGAUUUACUGGGCGUAAAGGGCGCGUAGGCGGCAAUUUCAAGUCAUCUGUGAAAUCUCCGGGCUUAACUCGGAACGGUCAGAUGAUACUGCUUUGCUAGAGUGCAGAAGGGGCAAUCGGAAUUCUCGGUGUAGCGGUGAAAUGCGUAGAUAUCGAGAGGAACACCAGAGGUGAAGACGGGUUGCUGGGCUAACACGUGACGCUGAGGAGCGAAAGCAUGGGUAGCGAACAGG
rnacentral:rRNA from 1 species